CGGACCGGUCUAACGGCUACGGCUCCCGUCUGCAGAUGCUGGAAACGCCGGACAUCUCUCUCCUCGUCGGAGCAGGUUAUUAAUGCCCGGGUCGCGCCUUUGUGGCUAACUUAUAUAAUCUAAAACACGCUUUCCUUUUUGAGGCAGGGGCCUUGGCAGCCUGAUUGAGGAUUAGAUCCUCAAAGAAGUUUCUUCUUUCUCUGCUGGUGGGGACCUUGAUGUGGAAAACCUCUCCGUACUCCAUCCGAAACAAUUCCUGCACCUGAGACAUGAAAAGCGAGAGAAAAGUGUCGGACAGUGGCGGAGACCAAAGUCUUGUGUGGAUCUUCAGAAUGUCCUUUCUUGCCUGCCAUACAAAGCCGAAGAGAAACUCUCUGUCGAAGCGCCCUGGUCUUCUCAGAGCUGGGUCGAUGGAGUCCAGUCUGUUUGUAGCUCCGAUCACAACAACCUCUCCUCUACUGUCUAAUCCGUCCAUAAGAGCCAACAGGGUCG